rnacentral:sRNA from 1 species
ACUAGCAGAACCUAAAACAUCUGAAAAAGGCAAGCACAAGUUCUCUGAUACUGCAUUGUGCUCCCUUUAUGAGUGCUUUGUCCAUUUAUGCCCAAGGUUGCGAUGUUUUGAAUUUUUGCAAUCAGACCUUGGCAAUGACUUUGAGCAGUAGGAUAUAAAUAACUCCCACAUGCUUAGCGUUCCAAUAAUGGAACACUAGGCAUAAAUGGGUUAGAGUGAGAGGAUAAUAACAUCUCUUUAAUGGAAAGAAUAUUACUGUAACUCUAUUCUGAAGACUCCAUUUUGAGUGCUGUGUUUAUAGAAUAAGGUAGAAAUAUUUUUGCUGUUAAUUGACCCUACAGGGCAUUCUAAAGGAAGAAGCUGCUCAGGUGCAUGGAGUCAAGGACCCAGCGCCAGCAUCAACCCAGAGUGUGCUUGCCGAUGGGACAGAUUCUGCAGACCCCUCACCAGUCCACAAAGAUGGGCAGAAUGAGGCCGACAGUGCACCAGAAGACCUCCAGUCUGUGGGGACCAGCAGGCUGCUCUAUCACAUCACUGAUGGUGAUAACCCACUGCUGUCGCCACGAUGCUCCAUCUUCAGCCAAAGCCAGAGAUUCAACUU